UUCCAGACUCCUACGGGAGGCAGCAGUGGGGGAUAUUGCACAAUGGGGGGAACCCUGAUGCAGCAACGCCGCGUGGGUGAAGGAGCGUUUCGGCGCGUAAAGCCCUAUCGGCAGGGAAGAAGGAGGACGGUACCUGACUAAGAAGCCCCGGCUAACUACGUGCCAGCAGCCGCGGGAAUACGUAGGGGGCAAGCGUUAUCCGGAUUUACUGGGUGUAAAGGGGGCGCAGACGGCAGCGCAAGCCAGGAGUGAAAGCCCGGGGCCCAACCCCGGGACUGCUCUUGGAACUGCGCGGCUGGAGUGCAGGAGGGGCAGGCGGAAUUCCUGGUGUAGCGGUGAAAUGCGUAGAUAUCAGGAGGAACACCGGCGGCGAAGGCGGCCUGCUGGACCGCGACUGACGUUGAGGCUCGAAGGCGUGGGGAGCGAACAGGAUUAGAUACCCUAGUA
rnacentral:rRNA from 1 species